rnacentral:rRNA from 1 species
AAUGAACGCUGGCGGCAGGCCUAACACAUGCAAGUCGAACGGAUCCUUCGGGAUUAGUGGCGGACGGGUGAGUAACGCGUGGGAACAUACCCAAAGGUACGGAAUAGCCUCGGGAAACUGGGAGUAAUACCGUAUGUGCUAGAAAGAGGAAAGAUUUAUCGCCUUUGGAUUGGCCCGCGUUGGAUCAGGUAGUUGGUGGGGUAAGGGCCUACCAAGCCGACGAUCCAUAGCUGGGUUGGAAGGAUGAUCAGCCACACUGGGACUGAGACACGGCCCAGACUCCUACGGGAGGCAGCAGUGGGGAAUCUUAGACAAUGGGGGAAACCCUGAUCUAGCCAUGCCGCGUGAUCGAUGAAGGCCUUAGGGUUGUAAAGAUCUUUCAGGUGGGAAGAUAAUGACUGUACCACCAGAAGAAGCCCCGGCUAACUCCGUGCAGCCGCCGCCGUAA